GACGAACGCUGGCGGCGUGCCUAAUACAUGCAAGUCGAACGCACUGGGGAUGGGUGAGUAACACCUGGGUAACCACCCAUCAGAGGGGAUAACACUUGGAAACAGGUGAUAUACCGAUAUCGACGGAUGGACCCGAGGUGUAUUAGCUAGUUGGUGAGGUAAAGGCUCACCAAGGCCACGAUGCAUAGCCGACCUGAGGGAGGGAUCGGCCACACUGGGACGGUGACACGACCAGGACUCCUACGGGAAGCAGCAGAAGGAGAACUUCGGCAUGGGACAGAAGUCUGACCGAGCAACGCCGCGUAAGUAAGAAAGGUUUUCGGAUCGUAAAACUCUGUUGUUGGGGAAGCGGUAUCGAACCAGAAAGCCGCGGCUAACUACGUGCCAGCAGCCGCGGUAAUAC
rnacentral:rRNA from 1 species